rnacentral:ncRNA from 1 species
ACUUAAACUAUGAUGGAGAGAGUAAGUAUGUAAAAACAAUCAGGGAGAGAAGGUCGUGGACUGUAAGCCUUCUUUUGGGAAUAUAUACUGAAGUUCACUCCGGAGUUCUAACUAUGAAAUAAUAGUAGUAGUUAGCGGCCAAGAGUCGAUAAAAAAGCUAAGUGGGUCUUUGUUUAAAGUCCAAUUAGGGUGGUACCGCGGAUAAUCCGUCCCUUUU